UGGAUUUACGUAUAAAAUUAUUUUAUAGGAAAUGUGUAGUUGAAAAUAAAUAUUGAAAAAAAGAAAAAAAGAAAAAAAAAAAGAAAAAGGGAGAAUCUCAAUCAAAGGCUUAGCAUUAACAAGGAUCUAUCAACAAAGACAAUUAAUUUGAUAUAGAUUGAUUCAAACAUCUGAGUUGAAUCCAAUAUCAUAUUUAGUACCAAAUAUAUAUAAUAUAUAUAUAUAUAUAUAUAUAUGGAUUUACACCUUCCCUAAAGAACUUCUGCAUUGCUUCUACAAACUGAAAUAAUGGAUAAAGACUCAUGCAAAGAGAAAGGGGGAAACAGAAAACCUAAGCCAAAGCUUCUCUUCCAGGGCUAUUGGCAAAGAAUGUCUCAAUAUCAGGUGACUGGAAGUAACCAUUCUUCGGACGGUUCUUCUUAGUUUGCUGGCGUUCCAUUUUCUUCCUCGGCGCCGGCGGACGUGGAUUUACACCUUCCCUAAAGAACUUCUGCAUUGCUUCUACAAACUGAAAUAAUGGAUAAAGACUCAUGCAAAGAGAAAGGGGGAAACAGAAAACCUAAGCCAAAGCUUCUCUUCCAGGGCUAUUGGCAAAGAAUGUCUCAAUAUCAGGUGACUGGAAGUAACCAUUCUUCGGACGGUUCUUCUUAGUUUGCUGGCGUUCCAUUUUCUUCCUCGGCGCCGGCGGACACACCACAGACAUCGGUAUCUGAUAAUCUUGAUUCUUUGGAGUAGUACACUCUUGCUCCACCUCCAUUUCCUCUUGUUUAUCAAUUUGAAAAACAAUAUUGUACUACGUGCAGUACUAUGAUGUAGCUUUCGUACCUAGAAGAAUGCAAGAAGUACAAUGGAACAAGAAUAAAGACUGGUUUAUGUAGAAUUUUGUGCUAAUAUUUGAAAUUGUGGAGUAGUGCAGAAGAUGGAGUGUUUUUCAG
rnacentral:lncRNA from 1 species